UACGUAGGGGGCAAGCGUUGUCCGGAAUCAUUGGGCGUAAAGCGCGCGUAGGCGGCCCGGUAAGUCCGCUCUGAAAGUCCAGGGCUCAACCCUGGAAAGCGGGUGGAUACUGCCGGGCUAGAAUCCGGAAGAGGCGAGUGGAAUUCCUGGUGUAGCGGUGGAAUGCGCAGAUAUCAGGAGGAACACCAGUGGCGAAGGCGACUGCCUGGCCUGUUCUUGACGCUGAGGCGCGAAAGCUAGGGGAGCAAACGGG
rnacentral:rRNA from 1 species